rnacentral:rRNA from 1 species
CCUACGGGAGGCAGCAGUCGAGAAUCAUUCACAAUGGGGGAAACCCUGAUGGUGCGACGCCGCGUGGGGGAAUGAAGGUCUUCGGAUUGUAAACCCCUGUCAUGUGGGAGCAAAUUAAAAAGAUAGUACCACAAGAGGAAGAGACGGCUAACGCUGUUCCAGCAGCCGCGGUAAUACAGCGGGCUUAAGCGUUGUUCGGAAUCACUGGGCGUAAGGCGUGCGUAGGCUGUUUCGUAAGUCGGGUGUGAAAGGCGCGGGCUCAACCCGCGGACGGCACAUGAUACUGCGAGACUAGAGUAGUGGAGGGGGAGCUGGAAUUGUCGGUGUAGCAGUGAAAUGCGUAGAUAUC